rnacentral:lncRNA from 1 species
UAGAUUGAAACGUAUAGGGAAAAUAUUACUUUAUCACCCGAUAUAAAGUUUAAAUUUGACCCUCAAACGCAAAGCACAUAAAUCAAAGAAUUAAAUAAUAUGGCAUUAAAUGCAUGAUUUGACCUCAUAAAUAUAGGCAUAAUCAACUUACCAGUCAACUUAUUUACAACAAGGUACAACGCUUGAAGGUUCGUCAAGUUCCCAAUUUCUCUCGGCACAAAUCCAGUGAAAGUGUUGUUGUACAAAGAAAGAUACUCAAGCUGUGAACACUGCCCCAAACUCGAUGGUAUUUCCCCAUACAACUCGUUGUAAGAUAUACGAAGCCUCUUGAGUCUAUGCAGAUUGUGUGUGCACAUAUCAAGAGGUAAACUACUAGACAAACUAUUAUUCUUUAGUUCCAAAACUUCUAGAAAUGACAUGUUGAAGAUAGAUGGGGGAAUGGGGCCAUGAAAAGAGUUGUGACUCGCAUUUAAAGAGACAAGGAAAGAAAGAUUCCCGAUUUCUGGUGGGAGGGUUCCGACAAGACCCAUGUACGAUAUAUUCAACUGAGUCACCCUAUUGUAGUGUGAAUCACAAGUAACUCCGAUCCAACUGCAAACACCGGCUUCAGUGCUCCAAUUUUGGGUCAAUAUAUUUUGAGGAUCUAAAGUGAUUUGAGAUUUUAAGGCGAGAAGUGAAGAACGAUCGGUGUUGAUAUAUAUCGUGUUUGGCUGAGCUAUAAUCCAUCAAAUAAUGGAUUGGUAAGAGUAGUGCAAGGAUGAGAAAAUGGGAAGAAACUCUCUCCAUAUCGCAAAUGCAGAGUGCUAAUUGUAGUUGUGUGCGCAGACAAGAAGCCUAGCUCAUGCCAUUUAUAUAGCCAUUAUUUUUUUGACUAAUCUGCGCAACAGUACAAGUCAUUAUUUUGUCUGGAAGUUUCGUUUACCUAUUGAUUAGGCAACAAAUUUUUAUUUACAAUUUUAACUAUAUUUUUUGAGUUAAUUACACCUNUUUUUUCUGUUUUUUAUAUUAAAUAAGAAGUAAGAUAUUUUGUAAUGGAUUAAAUUGAACUAAUCUAUAUACUAAUAUAAAAAGAGUCUUGGGCAUAACAUGUGAAUUGUCUAUUUUACUCUCAUUACAUUUUUUAUUUUAAGGUUAUUUUACAUAUUAUAUAUUUCUAAGAAUAUAUUAAUUCAUCAAAUAUUAUACUAAAACUAUGUGAUAUAUAUAUCUAUAGCGAUUGGUAAGGCUUAUAAAUAAAUAAAUCUAUCAAAUAAAUUAUAUUUAGUAGAAGUAAUGUACUUAUAGAUUUUCUAAAAAAAAAUGUUGUAAGAAAUAAUAGAAUUAAAUAAAUCAAAUUGGUAAUUAAAAAAUUAAAUAUAAUAAAUAUUAUAUUUUAACUAGUUAAUUCGAGUCAAGCCAAUUGCAGAAUGAAACUAAAUCAAAUAUAGCCACAUAUCUUUGGUCCCUUUAAUGGAAAAUGAAAGAAGCUUCUCUAAUCAAUUCUAACUUCAUCUUUUUUGACUAAUCUGCGCAACAGUACAAGUCAAUAUUUUGUCUGCAAGUUUCAAAUUAGAUUCGAAAUUUGGGAAAUGCAUUAAGUCACCUUUUAUUGUGGACAUAGAGACGUAUACUAGAAUUAAUUUGCGUAUUUAAUGGUUUGAUCUUGAUAUUGUCACAUUAACUUUUUUGGAGAUAACUGAUUGAAAGGGAAAUUUAAUUGAUAAUUUCCAAGUGCAGCCCAUGCCUUACACGUCGGGAAUAGAAUGGACUUUGAUUCAAGCAGAAGACUAAAUGUGCAUCACAUAUUAUGGAAUUAAUUUCUACGCAAAAUCAAGCAUCCAUAGCAUUUAAAAAAAAUAAAAAUUUUGCUUAGUUUGAGACGACAUUAAAAGUAAGAAUCCUCAUUUAAUUUAGAUUUUUCGACGAGAAAGUUGUGGCUGAAUAAAUUAUUCAAUACCCAUAGUCAUAGCAAGAGAUAAUCCCAAUAUUGUUUAAAAUUCAUUUUUAUCAAGUUGAUAUAUGUAUAUCAUUUACACUAAGAUGAAUUUCUCUUCCAUUUCAUUAAUAUAACGAUUGUAUUAUAAUUUUGGUAAAAGAAUAUAUAUUUUUUUUCUUUCAAAAAAGGAUCGAGAACGGUUCUCCAUUUUUGAAUUCCCCACCUAUUGGUUAAAAUUAUCCCCGACCUACAAGAAGUUGAUUGUGAAUUCACUACAAAAAAAACAGUUGAACUGCGACAAAAUUAAUGACGGAAAAUAAUUCCGUCUUAAAAUUACGACGAAUUAACAACGAUAUAUAUUUUCGACAAUUAACGAUAGAAAUUUACAUCGAAUUUACUAUGGAAAUUUUUUAACGAUGGAAUUAGCAACGGAAUUUCCGUCCUAAGUAUUUGCUACCGAAUUGUUCUGUAGUUAAAAGUAUAGAAUAAUUAAUUAUUUAAAUAAUUAAACAUUAACUAUGGAAUAUUUCCAUCGUUAAAAAUAAUGAAUAUUAAUUUUUUAUAUAAUUUAAAAUUAACUACGGAAAUUUCCGUCGUCAAAAAUGAAGAACAUUUAUAUAAUCUAAUUUUAGCACGGAACGUUUCCGUAAGAAUAUUAAUUAUUUACAUAAUCUAAUUCAUAAACCACACAUCAAAACACUUCAAGCUCCCAUUCACAAGCUCAAAAGCCAUAAUUGAGCAAAGUGAGAAAUUAGGGUUUAUUCAAAAUUCUCCGCUUAUUAUUAUUAUUAUUAUUAUUAUAGGAAUCAACUUACCAGUCAACUUAUUUGCACUAAAUUGUUGUUGUACAAAGACAGAAACUCAAGCUGUGAACACUGCCCCAAACUCGAUGGUAUUUCCCCAUACAACUCGUUGUAAGAUAUACGAAGCCUCUUGAGUCUAUGCAGAUUGUGUAUGCACAUAUCAAGAGGUAAACUACCAGACAAACUAUUAUUCCAUAGAUCCAAAACUUCUAGAAAUGACAUGUUGAAUAUAG